CCUACGGGAGGCAGCAGUGGGGAAUAUUGCACAAUGGGCGAAAGCCUGAUGCAGCCACGCCGCGUGAAGGAAGAAGGGUUUCGGCUCGUAAACUUCUAUCAACAGGGACGAAAGAAAUGACGGUCCCUGACUCCUACGCCCCCGCUAACUACGUGCCAGCAGCCGCGGUAAUCCGUAGGGGGCGAGCGUUAUCCGGAAUUACUGGGUGUAAAGGGUGAGUAGGCGGCAUGGUAAGCCAGAUGUGAAAGCCUUGGGCUUAACCCGAAGAGUGCAUUUGGAACUAUCAAGCUAGAGUACAGGAGAGGAAAGCGGAAUUCCUAGUGUAGCGGUGAAAUGCGUAGAUAUUAGGAAGAACACCAGUGGCGAAGGCGGCUUGCUGGACUGAAACUGACGCUGAGGCACGAAAGCGUGGGGAGCGAACAGGAUUAGAUACCCCUGUAGUC
rnacentral:rRNA from 1 species